CAGUAGCCGCGGGAACACGGAGGGUGCAAGCGUUAUCCGGAUUUAUUGGGUUUAAAGGGUCCGUAGGCGGAUCUGUAAGUCAGUGGUGAAAUCUCACAGCUUAACUGUGAAACUGCCAUUGAUACUGCAGGUCUUGAGUAAAUUUGAAGUGGCUGGAAUAAGUAGUGUAGCGGUGAAAUGCAUAGAUAUUACUUAGAACACCAAUUGCGAAGGCAGGUCACUAAGAUUUAACUGACGCUGAUGGACGAAAGCGUGGGGAGCGAACAGGAUUAGAUACCCCAGUAGUCCCUGUCUCUUAUAC
rnacentral:rRNA from 1 species